UAAUUAGAAACGGGCCGUGAUGGG
rnacentral:miRNA from 1 species